UCUAGCACUGAAAACAUAAGCUACAGCUAGCUAGCACUGCAAUGCAUAAAAUGUGGUGAGUAGUUGACUCAAAGAGAAAGACAAUAGUUGAACAGUUUUGAGCAAAUAUAUUUAUUCCAAAAUGAAGGAGAAGCAAGAGAGAAAUAGAGAGAUUUUGUAAAUGUUUUCACUUCCAGUUUCACUUUCUUAGUUAGCAAAUGCAGCUAGCUAGUUUAGCCUACUGAAACAUCCUGCUCAAACAGAGGUAGUAUUAUGACUUUCCAACACAACACUGGAACUCUUCCAAGUCAAGGGGAUGAAUCCAGCCUUUGUUGUCAGGGCCGGCAAUUCAUAUGGGAACCCGGACACUGUACUGAGGACUCAGAUCCCCGCCACAGGCUCCUAACAACAACGCCUCAACAGAGAUCCAAACCAAAAACCACAGCACUGACAUAACUCCAAAGUCAUCUGUCGUUACACAAAAGCACCUUACAGGUAAGGUAGAAUGUUUUUUCUUUCUUUCUCCCAACAGAGCAUACAGUAUAUUAUCUAUGGGGGAAUUGAAUAAAGGCUUUGGAUUUAGGCCAGAAAGUGUAUUGCUGUGUUUUUUAUUCUUCAGUAUUACUUUAGUGCCUUGUUGCAUUACAGGAUGCUUUUUUGUUGUUGUUGUACAUUUGUAUUCUUCUUUUCACGCUGUCAUUUAGGUCACUAUUGUGGAGUCACUACAAUGUUGUUGAUCCAUCCAUAUGGAUCAUUUCGUGUAGAUCAACAACAACAAAAAUCACAAUUAAAUCUAUUUCAAUACCACUUUGUCAUGCAGCAAAAUGUGAACCAAUCCAAGGGGGGUGAAUACGUAUAAUACCUACUGUAGCUAACUUUUCCUCUUUUUCAACAAAGGUUCACAAUAACUAUACCGGUACAUAGUUUCCACAAUUACAUUAGCUUGUACUCUCAUCAUAAGGCUUCCCUGAAACGUUAACAAAC